AUUGAACGCUGGCGGCAGGCCUAACACAUGCAAGUCGAACGGUAACAGGAAACAGCUUGCUGUUUCGCUGACGAGUGGCGGACGGGUGAGUAAUGUCUGGGAAACUGCCUGAUGGAGGGGGAUAACUACUGGAAACGGUAGCUAAUACCGCAUAACGUCGCAAGACCAAAGAGGGGGACCUUCGGGCCUCUUGCCAUCGGCUGUGCCCAGAUGGGAUUAGCCAGUAGGUGGGGUAACGGCUCACCUAGGCGACGAUCCCUAGCUGGUCUGAGAGGAUGACCAGCCACACUGGAACUGAGACACGGUCCAGACUCCUACGGGAGGCAGCAGUAGGGAAUAUUGCACAAUGGGCGCAAGCCUGAUGGAGCCAUGCCGCGUGUAUGAAGAAGGCCUUCGGGUUGUAAAGUACUUUCAGCGGGGAUGAAGGGAGUAAAGUGAAUACCUUUGCGCAUUGACGUUACCCGCAGAAGAAGCACCGGCUAACUCCGUG
rnacentral:rRNA from 1 species